GGUCUCUACAGCUGGUGUUCUUGCCCUAAGCCUGGCUUGCUACAAUCUAUUCUGUACUCCAGUACGGGAGCCACCCUUUAGAAAUGGAGCACAGCGGCAAAAUGGAUGAAAACCGAUUCGUGGCGGUUACCAGCACAAACGCAGCUAAGAUCUUUAAUCUCUAU